GCCUUCGUGGUGUAACGGUAGCACACUCGGCCCGUAUUCGAGAGGUCCAAGUUCGAGUCCCAGCGAGGGCA
rnacentral:tRNA from 1 species